CAAGCUCUGAUCCUAAAACAUGCUAGCCAAGAUCUCUACACUGCUUUGCACUCCAAACUCUGUUUGUGUCUUUAAGACAGUAUUGAUAACUGUACACAUUUAAAAUGCAUUUUGAAUCCUCAUCGCAAUAACUGGAUAUAUACCUUGAGGAGAAACGAAUUCUCUUAUCAAGGAGUAUGGGAAUGGAUGUCAAGGUGCAACGAUGACACUGCAAGGAAAAUAAUCCAACCAGAUGGGAAGGAGUAUACAGCACUAAGACACAUUUGACAAAGACACAGAAAAUUUCUUCGUGCUCUAAAAUAAAUGGCAAAUUUUGUUCAAGAAAGCAAAAGUGAAGAGUGAGAGAGAAAUCAGGCUCUGCAGAGGGAGUUUGGGCCUAGUAAAGAGACAAAGAGGUUGAGAGAGUCUACCCUAAAGACUGGAGUUUCCAAGUUUGACAAGGAAUUUCAUAAUCCAAGAUUGGAAAAAACUGAGCCCAGUUAUUGGAACUCGAGAGAGUCACAGGAGCUUAGUGAACCGGGAUGAAGAUAUGAAUCAUAUAAACUUGACUCUAGCAUUCUUGUCUGUCAUUUCCUGGGGAACACUUCUAGGUCGUUCCUCCUUGUGUGAUGUUACGAGGGACACACCUACCGCAAUGCCUUACACUUAAUUUGUAUUUCCAGGUAAGACCUUCCUAAGUUCUAGAUUCUUGUGUCUAACUGCAUACUAUGUAACUCCUGUUCUUUAAUACACGCCAGUAACUCAGACUGUCCAAAAUGGAGCCCUUGCUUGGCUCCCUACACGUUUCACUCAGAUGUAUAGCCCUAAGGAACCUAGUGUUUUUAUCCACAAUGUAUAUUUACACUUUGCAUUUUUACUUCGAUUCUUGGCAGGC